UACAGAGGGUGCGAGCGUUGUCCGGAAUCACUGGGCGUAAAGGGCGCGUAGGCGGCUCAGUAAGGUUGCGGUGAAAGCCCGGGGCUCAACCCCGGGUCGGCCGUGGCAACUGCUGGGCUGGAGCACUGUAGAGGCAGGUGGAAUUCCGGGUGUAGCGGUGGAAUGCGUAGAGAUCCGGAAGAACACCGGUGGCGAAGGCGGCCUGCUGGGCAGUAGCUGGACGCUGAUGCGCGACAGCGUGGGGAGC
rnacentral:rRNA from 1 species